ensembl:lncRNA
GGUUUAUUGAAAGAAAUAUUUUGAAAUUUUAUAAAGUUCAACCAUUGCUAAUGCUAUCACACAAUCAGAACCUGGAGCGUCACUGUUUCCCGCCAACCUUCUUCAGUCUUUGAUAUGAAUGGUGUUUUCUGAGCCUCGAGAAACACUCCUCUGGUCAGCCCUGCAUUUUAAUCUAAUGGUUAAACAACGUACCAUAGGCUGCCGUGGAAUAUAUGCCAUUAAAAAGAUCUCCAGAACAUCUGUGACAAGUUUUUUUUUCUGGGACAUCUCAUGACUCAGUGCUUUUCAGUGAAAUGUGAUUUUAACACCUCACACACUGAAAACAAAGUAAGCUGUGGUCCAGAGCUGCACUCAUAUGUCCAUGAUAGUCGGAGUGUGGCCUGUCCCAAAUGGGCUAAACAGGAUUUCUACUAUUUUAGGUACACUUGAUUUAACUUUUCAAGUCAAAGUGGAGCAAGGUAAGGAAAAUCAAGUGCUCCUGGAUGUUUGGGAAGCAUUUAAACAGUUCGGUCCAGGACUGCCACACAUGCAUCACUCCGGUACAGUGGUUUGCAACCAAAGAUACAAAUAUACAAUAUAAUAUUGUAUCAUCUAGGAUCACUAUAUUUGCAGCUAUUCAGUACCCCUCUAGUCCAUGAUCUGGAAGUAGUAUGUAUAUAUAAGUAUAUAUAAAUAUGACACUCCCACAACCCUGAAGAAUUCAGUGUUUCACUCUACACACAGUCUGCAAGCAUACAGCAAAAAUCAGCUGCUUUGCACAUGAAAUCUUCUCAUUGCUGGAUGAUUUUCAGUGCAGCAUGCAAGUAAAAAUGUGCACAAUACUAAAAGUCUUUAGCUUCAUCAUAACCAUCCUCUUCAUUACAUCCAUUUAUACCAUGGACAGCUCUUUCUUUUCAAUAAGGUGAUUAUUUUAAUAAGAAAUUAGAGCAGACUUUAUUUAUUUAGUAUAUUUUCCUCUAUAGUAUUCUGCAUUUCAAAGCAUGCCAAAGAAAUUUUUCAGUUUCUGCAUAGUGCUGGCUAUACGAGUGCCAAAGAGUUUGAUUCCUUUACAAGUAGUAGAAGUUGGUAUGUACAGGAGUGGCAGAGCAGAUCCAGUGUUGUGUAAACGGUA